GGUUCAUGUGAUAGUGGCCCUUGUGUUCACAUUUAAAUGUUCACUAUAAGAGAGCUUUAGGUGGACCUUAAGGGAGCAUUAACAGGAUCACUGCUGAGACGACAGAAAGCUCCUCUCUAUCGUGCUGCACUGAAAUUCAUACUGGCCAAAAGGAAAUAAGAGAAGAUCAGGUGGAUCUUAAGGGAGCAUUAAGUGGAUCACUGCUGAGACCACAGAAAGCUCCUGCCUCUCACACUGCACUGGUAAAGGCCCCACUAUGUUGCUCUAUGUCAUGGUUGUCCUGUGUGUCUCUUCGUCUUUGGCUGAUGAAUCUGCAAAUUUGGAGCACAACCCCCACCCCUGCAUGUACAGGAAAGACAGCAAUGCUUGCGAAAGCUUCCUGUUUAAGCAUGUAAACAAAGAUGCUCCAACAACUCUGGACCAAAACCAGUGGCAGAAUUUUAUUCGCAAUGUCAUCCAGACAUGUGACCGACCGGUCCAGUCUUUCCUUCCCUUCGCUCAGAAACAACAAGUCCUCAGCGUGUGCUCUCCUUCUGGGGGUAAAAUACAGCAUGGUCAUCUGUGUGUUAGUAAAGCAGAGUUCAGCUUUACCACAGUGACAGUGGACAACAACUGUAUUGUGACCAGUGUCAAACCAGAGAAGAAACACCUCAUCCUGGGCUGCGACAAGAUUAAGAACCAGUGCUGCCCGGUCCAUUUUCAGUCCAACCCAAAAAAUGUCGGCCCAGCUGACCAAAGCCCAGACUGCAGAGCACCAGCACUUCAGGAUCACAUGGAGUUUGGACUAAGUCUUCCAUCUCUCGGCCUUCUGGUCCUCAUACUGCUGUCUGCAGCUUUUAUCUGCUGCAAAUGCCUCUCAAAAAGCAAGAAGAGCGCAGAACACAAGGAAUGAGUGGAUCGUCUUCCAGUGCAGGGUUCAAGUUGUGGCAAAGGUUUUGGGGGGCCUCCUGGUGGUGGAGGGUCUGAUUUGUAAUAUUUCUUACACAAUACAAACAACUGGCAUACAAAAUGGGCUAAUUUAAAUUAAUUCAACUUUUUCAUAUAUUUCAGAAUAUUAAUAAAGCAGAUUUUUUGAGAGAAGCAUAACUUAAAGCUGCACUGUGUUCGCUUUGGGGAUUUGGAGACCUCUCUGGCGGAAAUGCAUAAUUGCACCAAUAUGUGGAACAACAUUUUGUAAUGUAGAUCGUGCUUCAGAUCCCUUACCUGAACAGAUGAAUUGAAAGAGAAUUCAAAGAGAACUCAAAACCUUCGAUGUGAGUGAAUUAUCUACUGUUGUCAUCAGUAUAAUGUUGAUUUUGCAGCAUUUGAGGCCUAAACAUCGAGCCGCACCUUCUUUGUUUGUGCAUGCUAUGUUAACACAUAAAGACGUAAGACAAGGGCUGGAAAACUCCCAAGCUGACGCCUCUGAGU